UGGGAAUCGUGCACAGUGCACACGGAUGCCGGGAAAAAAUAAAGAAACUCAGGCUGCUGUUAAGGUCUGGGCACAUGGAGGAAUGCAGGCGAGGAGAGGUGGAUACAAACAGGAUUGAGGAAACAGAGAUACAUAAACAAUGAAGAGCACAGGGAUAGAUAAGGCCUGCAUGGUGCUUCCAGUGGGGUUGUUAUGAAUAAAGAUACAUCUUGAUUUGGACUUCCACUGUGCUACUUCAAUGAAUAACUUAUUAAAAAAGAAAGAUAGACAGGCAACAGCAAGCAUUAUCUGCAUGAGUGAAGAAAAGGAAAUUAAAACUUUUUUCUAUAGCAUGA